rnacentral:lncRNA from 1 species
ACCCUUUUGGAAGUUUUUCCUGAUGAGGAGGACAACUGACCAGUUUGGUCAGAAAUCAAACCAUGACCUCCGAUGCUGAAAUACAUUCCUUUUGAAUGGUCUGUGACAUCAGCUCCACUGCAAGUCAACUAAGCAAUAUCCAAAGAUUUCCCCUCCCAGUGCUCCCUGGGCUCACCGUGCUCCAUCCACCUCACCAGCCUCUCAGCCCAGACACAGUUCAUCUGAAGACUGUCGUGGUCAAAGGUACUACUGGAAGUGAGGAGCUACGUGCCCCUCUGUGGAAAACCUACAAGGAAAAAAGAGCUGCUGCAUGCAUGUACCCUGCCCUAAGUGCUGUGAGUUCAGAAGCUGUAGUCUGGCAUCCAUGGGCAGCACUGCCAAGCACCCCAUUCCUGCCUCUCCAUGGAAAAAGGAAUCCCAGAAGCAGUGCAGGUGAGAUGCUCCAGACCUCAGUGGACAACAACAACAGAGCCUUUGUAGAGAGCUUUAGGCAUGGGCCCCAGAAGUGCAAUUAACUCAGAAAGACUGCAAAGAAAGAGAGGAAGAUGAAGGCAUGCCAGCGAAAUAAAACAUGGGUUUGAAUCCUACA